rnacentral:rRNA from 1 species
AACGUAGGUGGCGAGCGUUAUCCGGAUUUACUGGGCGUAAAGGGUGUGCAGGCGGGCUGUUAAGUGGUGCAUGAAAUCUCCGCGCUUAACGUGGAGAGGCUGUGCCAGACUGGCAGUCUAGAGUACGUGAGAGGGUUGUGGAAUUCCGGGUGUAGUGGUGAAAUGCGUAGAGAUCCGGAGGAACACCAGAGGCGAAGGCGGGUCUCUGGGCCGGAACUGACGCUAAGGAGCGAAAGCGUGGGGAGCGAACAGG